rnacentral:rRNA from 1 species
GGGGGCACAGGCCAGGGGGUAGCGACUGUUUAGCAAAAACACAGGGCUCUGCUAAGUCGGCUUCAAGACGACGUAUAGGGCCUGACGCCUGCCCGGUGCCUGAAGGUUAAGUGGAGGGGUGCAAGCUCCGAAAUGAAGCCCAGGUAAACGGCGGCCGUAACUAUAACGGUCCUAAGGUAGCGAAAUUCCUUGUCGGGUAAGUUCCGA